rnacentral:lncRNA from 1 species
AUGAGGAUCCAUUACCUUCUCUUUGCAUUUCUCCUGGUAUUGCUAUCUCCAUAUGCAGCUUUUACUGUAUUAAUCAACAAUCUAUUAACAUGCAUAGCCAAUCGUGGCUUUUGCUGGCAUUCAUGCAUUCAAGGUUUUCAACUAGCAGGCCAUUGUGGCCAUCCUAAAGUCAGAUUGCUGCAUUAAAAGAUAGAGAAAAGGACCAAGAACCAGCAACGUGAAUAAAUGCCAGAAUUUGCUUCUCCAUGAAUAUGCACAAACAAACCCAAUUAAAGUUCUUUGAUUACAUUUUGUAACUCCUGUUUCAGGGGAUAUUGCACUGUCUUUUGACUUUUAUGGGAACAUAUAUACAAUACAUAAAGGAAAAGCACCACACACGUAAAAUUAACAAUAGCAGUAAUAAUUAUAAUUUUAAAAAUA